rnacentral:rRNA from 1 species
GACGUAGGGCGCGAGCGUUGUCCGGAUUUAUUGGGCGUAAAGAGCUCGUAGGCGGCUUGUCGCGUCGUCCGUGAAAACCCACAGCUCAACUGUGGGCUUGCGGUCGAUACGGGCAGGCUGGAGUUCGGUAGGGGAGACUGGAAUUCCUGGUGUAGCGGUGAAAUGCGCAGAUAUCAGGAGGAACACCGGUGGCGAAGGCGGGUUGCUGGGCUGAUACUGACGCUGAGGCGCGAAAGCCAGGGGAGCGAACGGG